rnacentral:rRNA from 1 species
AGAUUGAACGCUGGCGGCAGGCCUAACACAUGCAAGUCGAGCGGUAGAGAGGUGCUUGCAUCUCUUGAGAGCGGCGGACGGGUGAGUAAUGCCUAGGAAUCUGCCUAGUGGUGGGGGAUAACGUUCGGAAACGGACGCUAAUACCGCAUACGUCCUACGGGAGAAAGCGGGGGACCUUCGGGCCUCGCGCCAUUAGAUGAGCCUAGGUCGGAUUAGCUAGUUGGUGAGGUAAUGGCUCACCAAGGCGACGAUCCGUAACUGGUCUGAGAGGAUGAUCAGUCACACUGGAACUGAGACACGGUCCAGACUCCUACGGGAGGCAGCAGUGGGAAUAUUGGACAAUGGGACGAAAGCCUGAUCCAAGCCAUGCCGCGUGUGUGAAGAAGGUCUUCGGAUUGUAAAGCAACUUUAAGUUGGGAGGUAAGGGUUGUAAACCUAAUACGUUGACUAACGUUUGACGUUACGACUAGAAUAAGCACGGCUAACUUCGU